rnacentral:rRNA from 1 species
CCUACGGGUGGCAGCAGUGGGGAAUAUUGCGCAAUGGGCGAAAGCCUGACGCAGCGACGCCGCGUGGGUGAUGAAGGCCUUCGGGUUGUAAAGCCCUGGCGGGUGGAACGAACGAUCUGGCGGCGAAUAACCGCCGGGUGUGACGGUACCACCGAAGGAAGCACCGGCUAACUACGUGCCAGCAGCCGCGGUAAGAAGUAGGGGGCGAGUGUUGGUCGGAUUUACGGGGCGUAAAGCGUGCGUAGGCGGCUAACUCCCUCGGCUUAACCGAGGUCCCGCAUCCGAUACUGUCUGGCUCGAGUCUAGGAGAGGAAAGCGGAAUUCCCAGUGUAGCGGUGAAAUGCGUAGAUAUUGGGAGGAACACCGGUGGCGAAGGCGGCUUUCCGGACUAGUACUGACGCUGAGGCGCGAAAGCUAGGGGAGCGAACGGGAUUAGAUACCCGAGUAGUC